GGCAAGUUUAGUCCCUAAAGUUACACAAAUAAUACAUAUAACCGUUCCUGGCACUUUCUUACAUGUAACUGACACGUUUCUGUUGAAUCUUUACUUUACAGGAGUGGUUUAGUGUCUUCAAAAAGACCGUUGGCAUCACAACCGUUAGCAUCAGAGGCUAACAAUUAGAGGAGCGUCAGAAAAAAAUACCUAAAACAGGGGAAGUUACAAGAAAAUUUGUAAUGAGAGCUGCUGACAGAGAUACAGGAAACACAGAGGUGGAGCGGAACAGAUCUCCUGUCGAAGAACAUCUCCAAAGCGCCAUGAACCAUCUGACUAGGCAGUUCAUGACGACGGAUAACUUGGACAGAAGUCCGUUCAAGAUCCAGCCUCCACACCAGACUUCUCACUCACAAGGAUUGCUGUCUACUAGAUAUUAUGUGUACUCUUCAGACUUAGGUUCAUGCAGAUAUUAUUCAGGGACAUGAACACUUGAAUAUUGCAAAAAUAGAGAAACUAUCUUAUUUAAGAAGUUUGUGUUAGUUGCGUGAACAUUAAACAAAUAUAUAUUUAUUUUACUGUUUUUUGUUUUGUUUUCCAAAGCACCUAAAAGCCAAUUCACA